rnacentral:pre_miRNA from 1 species
UUUUUAGUAUAAGUACGCUCCAUGCAAUAUUUGGGACAUACUUAUGCUAAAA